UUCUUUUCCCUUCGUUCUCCGGGUGGCUGUAGCAUUCUUACACAUGGUCAAAGCGGUGCCCAACCGCUUAACUGGUCUCGAUUACCCAUCUCUUCUUUCUGUCCGGACCUGCUCGCCACGACGGCCACAUCUGGAGCUGCCGCCGUGCUGCUCAGUCAUCGGGAAAGCUGCCUCCGAUCUAGCUGCCGCACGACAUCAGGAGGGGGUUGGGUGAUGGCGCCGUCGUUGGCAUGGAGGCGGGGCAGCGAGCGCGGAGCAAAGAGGACGUGCCGACCAUGUCGACCACGGGUAUGGAGGUCAGCAGCGGCUAUGCGGCGCGUCGGUCCGUAGGUAUGGCGUGGCCUCUCCUUAUCCAUCGCCCCUGUCCCCUCUCUCUCCAUGCAUCGCCUCCUCCACCUGCGGUAAACAGCGCGCCGCCGUGUGGGUCGCUGAGAUCGACGCUGCCGACGGUCGCCGGAUGCCAUCAAUAAACAAUAUACAUAGGGGCUCUCUCUCCCGACGCUCCCUCCUGCGCUCCUGUAGCUGCCGUUCCCCUGCCACCGCAGCCUCCUCGCCGGCGACUCCCAGCCGCCGGGCCACCCCAAUCCCAGCCUCCUCGCCCUCCCUGCUUGCCACUCCUUCAGGCCAUGUCCUCCUCCUGCGGCUCCCGGACGGCCGUCGCUCGGGCCGCGAUCUGCGCUAGAGGAACUCCAGCUCUGAGUUCAGCGCCAAUCGCUCCUUCCAGGAUGUUGUCCGCGGCGCGGCGGCCUGUCCCCACUGCUCCCCUCGCCGGAGCCGACUCCCUUCUCUGCUCGGACCACUGACGUCGCUCCCCUGCCUCGCAUCCUGCACGCGGCCGCUCCCCUAGGGUGUCACACUCCCUGUGAACAAUGGCCUCUACUUCCGCUGCCAAGAGGAGGGCCACCGUGUGAGGAAUUGCCCCAACGAAGCCCAAUGCCGUGCAGAUGUGAUUUCGUGUAUGAGUUUCAUUGUUUCUAUGUGUUAAUUUUGCAGCCUCGUGUUUUUUUUUGGUCUGGCUUAGUAAGCACUGAACCAUACAGUUUAGUCUCAUUUCCACAAUAUUGCUUGAAUAUAGGAUGGCUACAUGAUCAAAUAUAUCUCUGACAAUCAGCUUUUGUUUCUCCAGCUUUCCUUAUGACGAUUAGGCUUGAUUUUUGAAAUCUCUGUAGAGUUGAAGCAUUAAAAAUAGAUGGGUGCUAUUGCUCCGAGAGGAUACUUUCAAGGUGAUAUUGUUUUUUUUUCAUAGAUAAUUGACUGCUCAGUUCUGGCCAUUUUCAAUAUGAAUUCUUAUAUAUAUUUUCUUCUGUGGUCUAUGAAAAGAAAUGACUUGGUGAUGCAUAUACACACCUUUGUACGAAGGUUAUUUAGACAUGGGAGUGAACUGUCAGAUAACACUAAUAACAGAGAUUUGUUAUAUGUUAGUUAAUAUCCUGGCGUUCAAAUGUUUGGUAGUAUCUAUUUCACUUGCACCAGUGUCAACCAUUUUCACCUCUUAUGAGCUAUCAUGUUUGACCUUCGAUCAAUCUUGCAAUAUUCAUCUUACUGCCACCAAGCUUUAUUUUAUAUAUUACAUGUGUUUUACUCUAUAGCUUGCUAGCUUCUUUUGAUUUUCUUUGUAUUAUGUCUUUUCCAGUCGUAGGCCAUUUGCAUGUGUCGUGUCUCUCCAACAUAUGAACUUAACAACCACAAAUAAAAACAACGGUAUCUCAUGCUAAAUUGUGUGUAACCGUCCAAGUGGGGUAUAAAAUCUGAAUAUUGGGGGAUAUAAGCAAAAGAUUUAUGCAAAUCUAAGCAAGCAGCAGAUAUUAAUAUAACUUCCAUAAGUAAUGUAGUACCGACAGGUUAUUCCUACGAUUGAUGGUCAUCCCAAACUAAAGAAAGGAUUAGAAGUACUUCAAUUACUACCCUCAAGGGCGGCAGCCGCAAGGUCAAUGAGAACAAGCUCCUCUCCAAGAAGAAUAGGUCUGUUCCAUCCUUCACUCCGCCGGACGCCGGCGCAUCUUUUUCCUCAGUCGGAAGAGCUUCGGAUUUGGAAGAGGGUGCGGACAAUCAAGGGAGCUGCUGCUGUUACAGCAGCACAACAGCACCACAAGAGACAACAGGAGAAUGAGAAGGAACUGCGGCGCAAGAUUUGAGGGCCUAUUGGUGAGGUGGUUCUUCAGUGCGGGUGAGUCGGUGGCUGUUUACCACAGGUGGCUUUUGUUGGUACUUGGGUUGAUCCUUCAGGCCCAUAUGAUGGUAAGGUGGAUUAAGGAGGUGAUGAAGUCAUUGCGGAGCUUCAGUACUGAUUUCCAUCUGGUCCCUGCCAUCUUCUCUACAGUUUCUUAUGUUACAUGGUUUGGCAAUAUGUCAUAAGUUCUGCAGUCCGUUUAUUCUGAUUUUCUUAUCUUACUGAUUUAGGUUAACACCUAUCAUGAUAUUUGUCAUUUAGCAGGACAUAUGUUCUUCAUAUACAAUAUGCAUGACUUCUAAGUUUCAUAAUAUUUGUUUAUUCAAUCACAAGUCUCCUACUUUCUGAUUGCUCUCAUGGCGGUAUUUGCGUAAGCUGAGUACCAAAACUGCAUAUAUAGUGGACAUUUUAUUUAGUAUUUCACACUUGAUUCAUUCGAAUGACUAUAGGCAAAGUAGAUUGGUAUAUAGUUAAAUUUGUUGCUACCUGAGUUCUAUUCUCCUUUGGUAAUCCCAUGUUGCUGAUCUUUGCCUUCAGCCUGGAGUUUUAUUGUGCCGAUGUCGGUGUACUUACCAUCCCUGCUGCGGCUCUCCGCCUCUGCCACAGACGUGCAGCACCGAGACAUGGAGCGCUUGCUACAUGGUGUCACAUACUGACGUCUAAUAUUUUCUCUGCAUGGUUUGCAGAUAGAGACUGAUAUAGAUGAUGACCAGAUCUUAAACUGAGAGAGCAACGGGUAGAUAGGAAGGUUGCCAACAAGUUCAAGAAAUGAUGGCAAGAAGAGAGGAAGCUGACAAGCAUACACUACAACACCAAAGAAAAGCAAUGAAGUAAAACAAAGCUUAGUGCCCACAUUUCAUUGGGCCGACUGCCGAGACUCCAGCCCCUGAUUAUCUAAAGCAGCUCAGGAAGACUGGUUAUGCACAGUACCCACUGCCACCACUAUGUAUAUUUGCCAGUUAUGUGCUUUUGUACGACAGAGGUUACUGAAAUUUGCUCAUCCUCUAUUUCCUAGCAGCCACACCUCCAGCUCUCCAAACAAAACUAUUCUCCGUUUAAAACAAGCGGCCAUACUCGAUACGAACAAUCAUGUGACCACCAGUCAGUGUCCCUUCAUGUUCAGUCCAGAAGAAACAUGUAUCCAUGCCGUCUUCCUCAUCAUUAUCCUUCAUGUAAUCCAAUAUAAAAUAGGACGACGGAGGUCUUCCUGGCUUUGUUGAGGGGGGCAAACAAGGAUUCGAUAAGAGGACACUGAUUCCCCAUUGAACGAUGAAGCACACUCGACUCUUUCUUCACCAAAGACCAACAACUCACCAUCUUUUCCCGCAACAACGAGGACACCAAUGCGAAGCACUGAUGAAUGGGUACUAGGGAACAUCAGCACUACCAGUCUUACCAUCCUACUUUGCUACUUCCUCCAAGCUUUUGUAACCAAGAAUAUGCCAAUGGUUAUGUUCAAGUAGAAACUCAUGUCUUUUCCAUGUAUCCUAUAUGUAAAGCGAUCUCACGAACUAUGUUGUCAGAGCUAAUCACUUCAAAAAUGUUGUCAGAUAAUUAUGUAUUAGUGUACUUACUACUUAUGCAAGGCAAUGAUAUGAGCUC